rnacentral:lncRNA from 1 species
AUGGGAGGGAGACAUUUCCAAACAGCAAAAGGACAAUGUUCUCUUCUAGAGGAGCUAGAAGACGCAGGUCUAACCACGGAGCAGCCUUCUCUAGGUAAGCAUUCUUCCCAUAUCCUAUUCAAUAUUUUAGAAUAUGCGCAUCUUCUUUCUGUAUCAUUAUUCUGUAUCUGUAUCUUUCUGUAUCAUUCUCCGCCCAAUUGUCCAUUCUUUUUUCAUGCAAUAUUAGUUCUUUAAACAGCCACUCUGACUGGGAGCCAUAUAAAAUGUGUUGGUGACAUAGAGAAUGGACUCUGAUGAAUGUUUUAUUUCCUUAUCUGUCAUUCUUAUCCCUGGCCUUCUCUCCUGUCUCUGGUUACCUGCUUCACUUAGCUGGCCAACUGAGAAUGAGAUGAAGGAUGAAAAUAAAUUGGCAGAUUGCCUUUAGCUGCGAGACAAGGGUUCUUUCUUUCUGUGGUUUAGUUUCACAAAGGGUUUUGUAGGCACUGGAAGUUUUGCUACAAAGCAGCAGGAUCUAAAGGCUGCACCCCAGAAGGUUGA